rnacentral:rRNA from 1 species
UACGAAGGGGGCUAGCGUUGUUCGGAAUUACUGGGCGUAAAGCGCACGUAGGCGGUCUUUUAAGUCGGGGGUGAAAUCCUGGAGCUCAACUCCAGAACUGCCUUCGAUACUGGAAGACUUGAGUCCGGGAGAGGUGAGUGGAACUGCGAGUGUAGAGGUGAAAUUCGUAGAUAUUCGCAAGAACACCAGUGGCGAAGGCGGCUCACUGGCCCGGUACUGACGCUGAGGUGCGAAAGCGUGGGGAGCGAACAGG